rfam:Aedes aegypti strain Liverpool supercont1.136 genomic scaffold, whole genome shotgun sequence.
CCUCUCAUGGCGUAGUGGUAACGCGCCCCAACUAGAGAUCGGGGAGUCGUAAGUUCGAUUCUCACUGAGAAGA